rnacentral:rRNA from 1 species
UACGGAGGUGGCAAGCGUUGCUCGGAAUCACUGGGCGUAAAGGGCGCGUAGGCGGGGAGGUAAGUCGGGUGUGAAAUCCCUCGGCCCAACUGAGGAACUGCGCCCGAGACUGCUUCUCUUGAGUCCCGGAGAGGAAGAUGGAAUUCCCGGUGUAGCGGUGAAAUGUGUAGAGAUCGGGAGGAACACCGGUGGCGAAGGCGGUCUUCUGGACGGUGACUGACGCUGAGGCGCGAGAGCGUGGGGAGCAAACGGG